rnacentral:rRNA from 1 species
UACGAAGGGGGCUAGCGUUGCUCGGAAUCACUGGGCGUAAAGGGUGCGUAGGCGGAUCUUUAAGUCAGGGGUGAAAUCCUGGAGCUCAACUCCAGAACUGCCUUUGAUACUGGGGAUCUCGAGUUCGGGAGAGGUGAGUGGAACUGCGAGUGAAGAGGUGAAAUUCGUAGAUAUUCGCAAGAACACCAGUGGCGAAGGCGGCUCACUGGCCCGAUACUGACGCUGAGGCACGAAAGCGUGGGGAGCAAACAGG